UUGCCGGCGACCGGCGGACGGGUGCGUAACGCGUAUGUAACCUACCUUUGACAGGGGGAUAACAUCGAGAAAUUGGUACUAAUACCCCAUAACAUCACCGGAGGCAUCUUCGGUGGUUGAAAACUCAGGUGGUCAGAGAUGGACAUGCGUUGUAUUAGCUAGUUGGUGGGGUAACGGCUCACCAAGGCGACGAUACAUAGGGGGACUGAGAGGUCAACCCCCCACAUUGGUACUGAGACACGGACCAAACUCCUACGGAAGGCAGCAG
rnacentral:rRNA from 1 species